rnacentral:rRNA from 1 species
UGAAGUAAGUAAGGGCGUACGGUGAAUGCCUUGGUGCCAACAGGCGAAGAAGGACGCGGCAAGCUGCGAAAAGCCUCGGGAAGCUGCAAGCAAGCGAUGAUCCGGGGAUAUCCGAAUGGGGUAACCUGAUCGAGGCAAUACUCGAUCGUUCAUACCUGAAUACAUAGGGUAUGAAACGCGAAACCCGCUGAAGUGAAACAUCUCAGUAAGCGGAGGAAAAGAAAGAGAAAUCGAUUCCGUAAGUAGUGGCGAGCGAAAGCGGAUGGAGCCCAAACCGAAGGUAUUCCUUCGGGGUUGUAGGACCACGUCAUAUUCGACCAUACUGGAUAGUAGAACAGCCUGGAAAGGCUGGCCGGAGAAGGUGAAAGCCCUGUAGACGAAAUCCAGAGUGGGAAUUAGUGGUAUCCUGAGUAAUACAUCACACGUGGAACGAUGUAUGAACCCGCGCGGACCACCGCGCAAGGCUAAAUACUAGUUGGCGACCGAUAGUGAACAAGUACCGCGAGGGAAAGGUGAAAAGAACCGCUGUGAGCGGAGUGAAAUAGAACCUGAAACCGUAUGUCUACAAAGUGUCAGAGCAGAGCAAUCUGCGAUGGCGUGCCUUUUGUUUAAUGAGUCUGCGAGUCAGUGUUUGUGGCAAGACUAAGGGCUUCCGGCCCGGAGUCGCAGCGAAAGCAAGUCCGAACAGGGCGCAAUAAGUCGCAGGUACUGGACCCGAAGCGGAGGUGACCUACCCUUGGCCAGGUUGAAGCAUGGGUAAAACCAUGUGGAGGACCGAACAGGUGAACGUUGAAAAGUUCUCUGAUGAGCUGAGGGUAGGAGUGAAAGGCUAAUCAAACCCCGUGAUAGCUGGUUCUCUUCGAAAUGCAUUUAGGUGCAGCGUCACGUGCUGAUGCGCGGGGGUAGAGCACUGACAAGGCUAGGGGGCACACCCGCUUACCAAACCUUAUCAAACUCCGAAUACCGUGCAAUGGAACGUGGCAGUGAGACAGUGGGGGAUAAGCUUCAUUGUCGAGAGGGAAACAACCCAGACCAGCAGCUAAGGUGCCUAAAUAACGCUCAGUGGAAAGGAUGUGGGAUUACACAGACAGUGAGGAUGUUGGCUUAGAAGCAGCCACCAUUUAAAAAAUGCGUAAUAGCUUACUCAUCGAGUGAUCCUGCGCCGAAAAUGAUUGGCGAUCAAGCGUUAUACCGAAGCUCUGGACUUUGCCGCAAGGCAGAGUGGUAGAAGAGCGUUGCAUGCGCGUCGAAGGGCGAUGGCGACUGACCCUGGAGCACAUGCAAGUGAGUAUGCAGACAUGAGUAACGUUAAGCCGGGUGAAAUCCCCGGCCGCCGUAAACCCGAGGUUUCCAGGGCAACGUGUUUCGUCCCUGGGUUAGCCGGGACCUAAGCCGAGGCCGAGAGGCGUAGGCGAUGGACAUCAGGUUAAUAAUCCUGAGCUCGCAACCCUUAAACUGGGGGGACGCAUGAGAAAAGAUGACUAGGUUAUUGAAUUCCGAGUUGAGUCCACGGACUCAGCGCAUCAUUGGAUCGAGUGCCAAGAAAAGCCCCAGCGUAUGCUAAGCGACCCGUACCGCAAACCGACACAGGUGGGUGGGUAGAAUAUACCAAGGCGUAAGAGUGAAACCUGGUUAAGGAACUCGGCAAAUUAGCCCCGUAACUUCGGAAGAAGGGGUGCCUGCAGCGAUGCAGGCCGCAGAGAAAUGGCCCAACCGACUGUUUAUCAAAAACACAGCACUCUGCAAAGACGCAAGUCGAAGUAUAGGGUGUGACACGUGACCAAUGCCGAAAGAUUAAGGCAAGGGGUUAGCCGCAAGGCGAAGCUCUAAACCCAAGUCCCGGUGAAUGUCGGCCGUAACUAUAACGGUCCUAAGGUAGCGAAAUUCCUUGUCGGGU